rnacentral:rRNA from 1 species
CCUACGGGUGGCAGCAGUGAGGAAUAUUGGUCAAUGGACGCAAGUCUGAACCAGCCAUGCCGCGUGCAGGAAGACGGAUCUAUGAGUUGUAAACUGCUUUUGUACGAGGGUAAACGCAGAUACGCGUAUCUGUCUGAAAGUAUCGUACGAAUAAGGAUCGGCUAACUCCGUGCCAGCAGCCGCGGUAAUACGGAGGAUUCAAGCGUUAUCCGGAUUUAUUGGGUUUAAAGGGUGCGUAGGCGGUCAGAUAAGUUAGAGGUGAAAGCUUGAGGCUCAACCACGGAAUUGCCUUUGAUACUGGUUGACUAGAGAGUAGUUGCGGUAGGCGGAAUGUAUGGUGUAGCGGUGAAAUGCAUAGAGAUCACACAGAACACCGAUUGCGAAGGCAGCUUACCAAGCUACAUCUGACGCUGAAGCACGAAAGCGUGGGGAGCAAACAGGAUUAGAUACCCGAGUAGUC